GCCGAGUAUGUUGGUGUACACUUGUAAUCCCAACAACUUAGGAGGCUAAGGCAGGAGGAUUGCAAGUUUGAGACCAGCCUCAGCAAUUUAGCAAGACCCUGUCUAAA
rnacentral:sRNA from 1 species